UUGGCGGCGCGGCAGCGACAUUUUUAUUUUACGUCCAUUUUUGUGUGUGAUUUCACUACACUUACGUGAUUACCACAAUGUGAAUUUGGUGGACAGUACCAGCUAACACACAGCGUCCAUGGCCUGAGUCAGCAGGCUGCAUGGAACAUGCCAGCCCAGACUUGAUGCCACCCUACAAUAACAGACCCGUAGCUGUUAAAAUGGCGGGCAGCCAUGCUUCCCUCUGUCUUUUAUCCAACACUCCUCGGCUCAUCAGAGUUGACGCUACGAGUGACCUCUUCACAUAUCACGCGGUCCACCAGUGAAGACCAGUGUUGACAGAAGCCUCAUCACCUUCAUUAAGAGAUAGCAUUGAGCACCCAGACCCUUGUUCCUCUAUUAAAAAACUCCCCACCAGAGAGAGCGAAGUGAGACGGGAUGAGGGCACGAGCAGCUACGAACCCACAAAUAAGACGCAGAACAGGAUAGACAUGUUCGACACUCACAGUGCUAAUGGUGUUUAUAUACGUACAUAAUUGACUACACCCCGUGACAGGCGAGGUGAUGGAAGCACUUUGGGCACCAAGAGCUGAAUGAAAGGCUCAUGGCGGCUUUACACAAUCAAAGCCUUCAUGAUGUCACUUUCAACCUUCGAUAUUAACAUGUGGUUUUCCCUCUCAAACAGACACUGCGUUGUGGACAUUCCUUGUCCUUAUACACAGGAAAAAAAAGAUGUCGUAUACAUCUACCACUUUGAUGUCACAGGCAAAAUUAUAGACUUACUUUCCUUUUUAAAGCCAUUACUGACAUAAUUACAUCCUCAAUCAGGAACCACCACCAAGCCAAGUUCGAAUUCCGUGACUGAUCACUGUCCGUCUCGCAACAUUUGUUGUGCUGAGGUAGACCAGGCUGGCGGGACAGGUGUCGGGGUCAGCAGCAAGAUACUGUAUCGCUCAUGGUAGAAUGUAAACGAAUGAUAAUGAAAAAUGCUUCAUGGUGUGGCCGCUAAGUGUGGGUGCAUGCCAUCCUCACGCCCAAAAACGCUUAUGGAUAACGAAGGGCAGGAAUUAGCGUUGUGGGGAUUCGAUACUAUAAAGAGUAUUUGUCUCGCUGCCCGUCGUUGGUCCCCUACAUAACCUCGUAAUGCUUCGAGCCUCAUGCCUGAAAGUGAAUAUUCAGAUUCACUGUUCACAAAACCACGUAUGAAUGAUAAUGACGAUUAUAUAUAUAUUUAUUUAUUUAU